CAAUAAUUAGUUUAAUCUAAAAUUUUACAUUUGGGUUGUAAAGAUUGUUUAUUGA
rnacentral:tRNA from 1 species